AUACUGCUGAGGAGUCCCACAAUAGGACGAAACGUCCGUUCAGUGC
rnacentral:hammerhead_ribozyme from 1 species